rnacentral:rRNA from 1 species
UGGGGAUUCACCGGUGCACAUCAGACCGUCCUGGAGCUCAGGAUCGGGCCCCGAUAUUUUAUCGGCCCGGGGAGCUAGCUAAUAAUGCACCGGACACUACAACACGUAUGGCAUUAGGAGGCAUUUUUUUGCCAGCGUUUUUGCUAAACGCCUCAAAAUCAUGCCAUUGAAGGCACUUUCUAAAAAUGCCUCCGAAGCUCACAGCCUUCAAGGGCAAUUUGGAAAAUUGCCUGCAAAACAGGGGGAAAGCAAGGCGUUCUCAAAAGUGCCGCGGAGUUUAGCCGGCGUUUUGGCGUAAAAUGCCUCGAAUGCUUUGUCUACAUUACCUAUAGAUGUUCACUUUUUUAAGGAAACAACCCUCCCACCUGCUGCCUUUCAAAGUGUGUGAAAAUAAAAAACACAUAACAUCGCGGCCGGCGCGUCGCUGCUCACCAUCGCCGUUGCUCCUCCGUGGGCGCCUCGUCGUCGCCGCCGGAGCCUCCUCCGCCACCGGUGCUCCACACCGGAUCCUCCGCAGCCGUCGCGGCAGCCGCGUCCGCGACGACCUGCACCGCCAUCUCCACGCUGUGCCUCUUCUUCUCUCAUCCCCAAUCUCGGGGUGGGAUUGCAGUGGGCGCGGUGAAGGAGAGGGGAGAUCGAGGCUCGGAGAGGAGGAGGGGCAAGGUGGUCCAGGAAAUGAACGAAUCAGCGGCGAUCCUCCCCACGCCAGACACGAAUAUUGCUGGUUGCAGUUGAUCCGACGCCCUGGUGCACAGAAGGUGUUCGAGCGGUAGCAACAUAUUUGAUGAGCCAUUUAUCCUCGCAACUCAAGCUACCCAAGUCUAUUAUGUACAAGAUUCUAUAGAGAAGGAUUGGUACGUUGUGGUUCAUCCACCUGCAAGAGACUUCUUUGAUAUGGACGCUAGAAUUGAUGGGCAUGAUGAUGUCCACCUGCAAGAGACUUCUUUGAUAUGGAUCAGGAAAAAAUGAUGACUUUGAGAUCAAGAUCUGAUGCAUUUAAUCAGUCCCAUGUGUCUGACCAUGAACGGAGAUUGAAUGGGCUGAAUUAUAGAGUCAGAGAAGUUAAUCCACCACAAAUGGAAUGCAUCAAUGUUAUCAAGCAAAAACAGAAGCUUCAAACAGGGAUAAAUUAAAACGCUUCACUAUGGUAAGCUCUUAAACUACAGGAAGUCAGGUGACCAAGCAUCAGGCUCGUUGCAUUACCUCAGAAUGUGCUGUGAGGAAUACGUUGAAGAGAUAGAAGAUAUGUGAGACAACAAGGUCAUAGAUGUCAUCCGAAAGUCGAAGUUGAUGGUGACACACGGCUGAUUGGUUUGUGUACUUCGAAUUGAUUGCAUCAAGUUGGAACACUCUUUACAACAUUGUUUCAACAGUAGGCAGUUUACCUGUGUGUUACAUUGUUGUCGCAACAGUAGGUAGUCUACCUGUGUGUUACAUUGUUGGUCCUGUGUUGGUGAUUGAUACUUUAAUGUCGUUUUCGAAUUUGUGAAGAUGUUCUGAUGCUUUACGUUAUUCGCUUGCACAAUGAUACUUCUAGCCAAUGCAAGCCUCUCAAUCUUGUUCUACUGUUGUAUAUAUGUGUUUGUACAGUGGUUGCAAAUUAGUGAGCUUGCUGCAACAGUGUUUUUAAUUAUAAUCUUACAUGUCUGUAAAGUUUGUGGCGUUCUUAUGUGCCUCAGAAACAUUUUGAAGGCAAGUCGAAAGACGCCACAAAAAGGUUUUAGAGGCGAUCUUAAG